rnacentral:lncRNA from 1 species
CGCAUGCCAGCGCCAGGCCGGUCUGCUGGGAUAGCUGGCUGGGGGGAAGCCUUCCGGGAGAGCUCCAAGAGAGGUGUGUUUACCGUGCAAACUGCACUGAUGGAAGAUCCCUGCUUAUCUGAAAGCCCUGGGCCAGCCCUGAGGGCAGGCUCAGCAAGACCUGGAGGAUAUCAGCGUUCGCACUAAAGAUCGGAUCUUGGAUUUGGGGUUCCAACCAGGGAUGAGUUUCUCUUUGAGAAAGAGGGAAGGAGAAUGGCA